rnacentral:rRNA from 1 species
UACGUAGGUGGCAAGCGUUGUCCGGAUUUACUGGGCGUAAAGAGCGCGCAGGCGGUCGUUCAAGUCGCGUGUGGAAGCCCCCGGCUCAACUGGGGAGGGUCACGCGAUACUGAUCGACUGGAAGGCAGGAGAGGGUAGUGGAAUUCCCGGUGUAGUGGUGAAAUGCGUAGAUAUCGGGAGGAACACCAGUGGCGAAGGCGACUACCUGGCCUGUUCUUGACGCUGAGGCGCGAAAGCUAGGGGAGCAAACGGG